rnacentral:rRNA from 1 species
UACGUAGGGGGCUAGCGUUGUCCGGAAUCAUUGGGCGUAAAGCGCGUGUAGGCGGCUCGAUAAGUCUGCUGUGAAAGUCCAGGGCUCAACCCUGGGAUGCCGGUGGAUACUGUCGAGCUCGAGUCCGGAAGAGGCGAGUGGAAUUCCUGGUGUAGCGGUGAAAUGCGCAGAUAUCAGGAGGAACACCAAUGGCGAAGGCAGCUCGCUGGGACGUGACUGACGCUGAGACGCGAAAGCGUGGGGAGCAAACAGG